rnacentral:lncRNA from 1 species
UUUGCAAGAUUGGUUCUAUCCCCGCCACGAAAACACCACGCGGGCACCACGUGGACGUGGCAGUAGCUUAAGUUGAAUACGGUGAACUAUUCACUAUAUUUGAAUAAGUAAAUAAUUCACUAUAUCCUUUCUAAACCCUAAAUCUAAAAUAUUACAUAAUAUCAUAAUAGAAAAAUAAUGAAAAAACUUCCAAAACUCCCCCUUGUGGUUUCACUUUUUCUCACUUUAGUAUCCUGUGGUUUAAAGUGUAUCAAGUUAGUAUCUUGUGGUUUCGUACUUUCUCACUUUAGUACUCUAUAGUUUAAAAUGUAUCAAGUUAGUACUCUGUGGUUUUAUUUUUGUAUCAAGUUAGUACCAUGUGGUUUUAUUUUUGUAUCAAGUGAGUAACCUAUAGUUUUUAAACCACAUGGUACUAAAGUGAGAAAGUGCGAAACCAUAGGGUACUAACUUGAUACACUUUAAACCACAGGGUAUUAAAGUGAAAAAGUGCAAAACCACAGGAUACUAACUUGAUACACUUUAAACCACAUGGUACUAAAGUGAAAAAAAGUGAAACCACAAGAGGGGUAUUUGAACUUUUUUCAGAAAUAAUGAAAUAUAGUAAAUCAUUCAUCGUGUUCAAAUACAUUCGGGCUCGCGUGGUGCUAACGUAGCGAGGAUAGAGCAAAUUUUAUAAAUAUAAAUUUUAUGGGGCUAUUUGUAGAAUUUUUUUUUAAAAAAACUAAAUACAAAAAAAACCCAAAAAACCUCAAAAAUAAAUAAAAAAAAAGUUUUAGAAUGAUGAAGUGAAUUGUUAUUGGUGGGUCCAUUCAUUGAACGAAUUGGAUUGGAUUCUCUCUAAUGUUAGUGAAAAAAUAUAUCUAUUUACCUUCUGUGGGUACCGCCAGAGUUAGAUCAGAUUUACUGUAUCUAUUAUGAACAUCAUAAAAUUUCUGUAAAUAUUUAUUUUUUUAUUUUUUAUUUUUUUGACUUUUAAAAUUUUAUAUAUUUAUUGUUCUUUUGUCUGUAUUCUGUCACUAUUCCAUUCAUUUUUUAUAAAUAUCGUUGAAAAUGAUAGAAAUAAAUUAUUUUUUUUUUAAUGAAACAAGUAAGGUAAUUUAGGCCAACCCAAAUAUAAAAAGACCUGUAUUAAAUUAUAUUAUAUAUUAUCAUUAGGCCAUAAAAAUAUGCAAUAAUAAUAAUAAUAAUAAUAAAUAUUAAAAUAUUUAUUAUUAUUAUUAUUAUUAUUGCAUAUUUUUAUGGCCUAAUGAUAAUAUAUAAUAAUAAUAAUAU